rnacentral:rRNA from 1 species
CACGUAUUUAGCCGUCGCUUCUUCUGCAGGUACCGUCAUUUUUUUCUUCCCUGCUGAAAGCACUUUACAAUCCGAAAACCUUCUUCGUGCACACAGAAUUGCUGGAUCAGGGUUGCCCCCAUUGUCCAAUAUUCCCCACUGCUGCCUCCCGUAGGAGUAAGGGCCGUAUCUCAGUCCCCUUGUGGCCGUCCACCCUCUCAGGCCGGCUACCUAUCAUUGCCUUGGUGGGCCCGUUACCCCACCAACAAGCUAAUAGGACGCAAGGCUCUCCUGCAGCAUUUCUUUCAUCAGACUGGACAUGAGUCCGUCUGACUUUAUCAGGUUUUUAUCAGUCGUUUCCGUCUUGUUAUCCCUGACUGCAGGGCAAGUUCCUUACGCGUUACUCACCCGUCCGCCUUGGCUAGACUGUGCAAGCACAGCUUUGCCAAAGACUUGCAUGUGUUAAGCAUUCUGUCAGCGUUCACUCCUGAGCCAGGAUACAAACUCU